rnacentral:rRNA from 1 species
AGUGAACGCUGGCGGUAGGCCUAACACAUGCAAGUCGAACGGCAGCACAGUAAGAGCUUGCUCUUACGGGUGGCGAGUGGCGGACGGGUGAGGAAUACAUCGGAAUCUACUUUUUCGUGGGGGAUAACGUAGGGAAACUUACGCUAAUACCGCAUACGACCUACGGUUGAAAGCAUGGGAUCUUCGGACCUUGCGCGAUUGAAUGAGCCGAUGUCGGAUUAGCUAGUUGGCGGGGUAAAGGCCCACCAAGGCGACGAUCCGUAGCUGGUCUGAGAGGAUGAUCAGCCACACUGGAACUGAGACACGGUCCAGACUCCUACGGGAGGCAGCAGUGGGGAAUAUUGGACAAUGGGCGCAAGCCUGAUCCAGCCAGACCGCGUGGGUGAAGAAGGCCUUCGGGUUGUAAAGCCCUUUUGUUGGGAAAGAAAAGCAGCAGGUUAAUACCCCGCUGUUCUGACGGUACCCAAAGAAUAAGCACCGGCUAACUUCGUG